rnacentral:rRNA from 1 species
CAGUAGCCGCGGGAAUACGUAGGUCCCGAGCGUUGUCCGGAUUUAUUGGGCGUAAAGCGAGCGCAGGCGGUUAGAUAAGUCUGAAGUUAAAGGCUGUGGCUUAACCAUAGUACGCUUUGGAAACUGUUUAACUUGAGUGCAAGAGGGGAGAGUGGAAUUCCAUGUGUAGCGGUGAAAUGCGUAGAUAUAUGGAGGAACACCGGUGGCGAAAGCGGCUCUCUGGCUUGUAACUGACGCUGAGGCUCGAAAGCGUGGGGAGCAAACAGGAUUAGAUACCCGAGUAGUCCCUGUCUCUUAUACA